GACGAACGCUGGCGGCGUGCUUAACACAUGCAAGUCGAACGGAAAGACCCUGCUUUUGUGGGGUGCUCGAGUGGCGAACGGGUGAGUAACACGUGAGUAACCUGCCCUUGACUUUGGGAUAACUUCAGGAAACUGGGGCUAAUACCGGAUAGGAGCUCCUGCUGCAUGGUGGGGGUUGGAAAGUUUCGGCGGUUGGGGAUGGACUCGCGGCUUAUCAGCUUGUUGGUGGGGUAGUGGCUUACCAAGGCUUUGACGGGUAGCCGGCCUGAGAGGGUGACCGGCCACAUUGGGACUGAGAUACGGCCCAGACUCCUACGGGAGGCAGCAGUGGGGAAUAUUGCACAAUGGGCGGAAGCCUGAUGCAGCAACGCCGCGUGCGGGAUGACGGCCUUCGGGUUGUAAACCGCUUUCGCCUGUGACGAAGCGUGAGUGACGGUGAUGGGUAAAGAAGCACCGGCUAACUACGUG
rnacentral:rRNA from 1 species